rnacentral:rRNA from 1 species
CCUACGGGGGGCAGCAGUGAGGAAUAUUGGUCAAUGGACGAGAGUCUGAACCAGCCAAGUAGCGUGAAGGAUGACUGCCCUAUGGGUUGUAAACUUCUUUUAUAUGGGAAUAAAAUGUUCCACGUGUGGGAUUUUGUAUGUACCAUAUGAAUAAGGAUCGGCUAACUCCGUGCCAGCAGCCGCGGUAAUACGGAGGAUCCGAGCGUUAUCCGGAUUUAUUGGGUUUAAAGGGAGCGUAGGUGGAUUGUUAAGUCAGUUGUGAAAGUUUGCGGCUCAACCGUAAAAUUGCAGUUGAAACUGGCAGUCUUGAGUACGGUAGAGGUGGGCGGAAUUCGUGGUGUAGCGGUGAAAUGCUUAGAUAUCACGAAGAACUCCGAUUGCGAAGGCAGUUCACUGGACUGCAACUGACACUGAGGCUCGAAAGUGUGGGUAUCAAACAGGAUUAGAUACCCGUGUAGUC